AGCAGCCCAUGCCGGCCUGGCCGCGGUGGCCCGUAUAAGGGCCUCGGGGCGGUUAGGGUGUAAACCCGAACCGCCGCCGCCCCUCCGCCCCAAGCGCCGCGGCCCCUGCGCGUGGCGUCGCCGCCGCCUGUGGGUGCCGCCGGUGAGCGCCGCGCGCCGCCAUGUCCGUCGCUGUUGCCAAGCGCCGCGAGUCGUCGCUGCCGUGCGCGCCCCUGUCCGCACCUUCCCUUUCUCCUCUGCUCCCAUCUGUGCCUGCCCCCAUGCGUGCCGGCGUUGCCGGCCGCCGGUCGCCGACCGUGACGCAGGCCGCCGGGCGAGGGGGUGGUGUUCGAGAAGGUGCCGGCCGCCGAUGGCGUUGAUGCGAGUGCCAGUGAUGCGGCGAUGCCGCUGCUGGUUGGGGUGGAGAUGCCGAGGGCGCUGGCGAGGCCGCCGAUGGUGGGGAUGCGGCUCCGGCGAGGAUGUCGCCGAUGUUGUUGGUGGUGCGGUCGUAAGGCGAGGCACCCAUGAUUGCAAAGAAACAGCAUCUUCUUUGCGAGAAUAUUUGCCAUGUUGUUGCUUCGAGAUGCCGAAUUGCUUCAGCGAGUUCUGUUUGCGUGGCCCAAUGAUGAAGUCGAGUUCUUCCCGGCAAGUGUGCUUUCUUCUUUGCGUUGCAAGAGUUCUGUCAAGUUGUGUCUAGAGGACUAGAGCGUGCGUGAACAGGGAUGUGAGAGUGACAUGCCCUCCGGCGUGUUCUCGUCUCCGUUCUUGCCAUGGUGUUGCCGAGGAUGGCCUCUGCAUCUUCGUUGCCGAGUGUGAGGCCUCUUGUUCUUGCCUUGUCGCUCAGGGUAGAAUCAAAGUGCGUGAUAAUGUGUUAGAAGUGAAAGAGAAUGGAAUGAUUAGCUUCUCAUUGAUAGGAUUGAUUACAUAUUUAUACAAGUCCAAAGGGCAUGGUGUCCCUUGAGAUUGGCCU